rnacentral:rRNA from 1 species
UGGUGGGUUGCCUUGUUCAGGUUGAUUCCGGUAACGAACGAGACCUCGGCCUGCUAAAUAGCCACGGGACCAUCUCGGUCCUGGCUGGCUUCUUAGAGGGACUAUUAGCGUUUAGCUAAUGGAAGUACGAGGCAAUAACA